UAUAUAUAUAUAUAUCUAUAUAUAUAUGUGGGUGUGUUAUUGUGUAUAAACAAUUUACGUAUUUAUACACGAAAGAGGUGACCUUUGACAAGACAUCUUACAUGCUAGAAAGGGCAGUUAAAGCCUAAACUCCGAAUAAGGGCAAUUUCAAAGAGAAUGAGAAUAAAAAAAAUAUUUUU